CCACAGUACAGCAGUGGGCUGAAGGGCUCCUCAAGUGCCACCAAAGUGGGAGCCCAGGCAGAGGAGGCCCCGAGAGUGAGCGAGGGCUGUGAGGACUGCCGGCACACUGUCACCUCUUACUGGGAUUACAGGCGUGAGCCACCGGGCCUGGCCGAGGAUUACAUUUUAAUGAGGCUCACAGCUGGAGAGAAAUUUGCCUCAGGAUGAAUCACACAUUUGAGUCUCAACAAUUUCUGAUCUUGAUGACAUUUAGAUGAGACUCUGGACUUCAGGCUUUUGAGUUGGUGCUGGAGCAAGAUUCAUUUCUUCACAUACAUUUUGGCAAGCAACUCUUUCAGGAUUCAUUCCAGCAGGCCUUCCUGCCUGGAGGGAACUUAAAAGAAGGUUAGUAAAAUAAACUAUGGCCCCUGCCUCUACAAAUUUUCUCAGUAAAUAUGAAUUUCUUUUGUCAACAGUGUAGCAGAGUAUUAUUUUUUAAAUACUUACCAGUUUGUGUCUUCUUACCAAUAAAAUAUUUCCUCCUUAUCUACCAUCUACCAUUUAGGUAAAGCUCUGAAUUAGAUUUGGAAAAGAGGAGGAUGUAGGGAAAAUGAGAAGGGGAAGCAAAGAUGAGCCUGCUCCUUGCAGGCAAGAAAGGGAUACAGUGGUAGGGCGAGAACAGCAAGUGUUGAGAUGUUUUGCUGUAACAGGACACCAAAGCAGAAAUGUAUGAAUCACUGAGAUGGAAUACCAUGUACCUGUUAAAAUAGGUGGAGUGGAACUACAGGUACAUUUUGCCAUGAUAAUGCAAGCUGUGAUAUUAUUCAAACAAUACUUGGAACAGGUAUAAUAUACUCUAUCUUAAUGUUGAAUCUGUACAUAUGUAGUUAUUCUAUAGAAACAUUCAUGGAAAUGAUAAACAUGACAUUUAAAAUCGUUGGCUCUACGAAACAUAAAAUCUGAGAUUGAAUUUAGUGUGCUUGGCAUCAGCCCCUGUGGAAAGGAGGAGAAGGAAGUAGAGGACUGGGAAGAGGCA
rnacentral:lncRNA from 10 species